AUUGAACGCUGGCGGCAGGCCUAACACAUGCAAGUCGAUCGGAGCGGCGGACGGGUGAGUAAUGCCUAGGAAUCUGCCUGGUAGUGGGGGAUAACGUCCGGAAACGGGCGCUAAUACCGCAUACUAUCAGAUGAGCCUAGGUCGGAUUAGCUAGUAGGUGGGGUAACGGCUAACCUAGGCGACGAUCCCUAGCUGGUCUGAGCGGGUGACCAGCCAAACUGGAACGGGGACACGGUCCAAACUCCUACGGGAGGCAGCAGUGGGGAAUAUUGCACAAUGGGCGAAAGCCUGAUGCAGCAAUGCCGCGUGUAUGAAGAAGGCCUUCGGGUUGUAAAGUACUUUCAGCGGGGAGGCGUUACCCGCAGAAGAAGCACCGGCUAACUCCGUGCCAGCAGCCGCGGUAAUAC
rnacentral:rRNA from 1 species